AUUGAACGCUGGCGGCAUGCUUUACACAUGCAAGUCGAACGGUAACAGGCCGCAAGGUGCUGACGAGUGGCGAACGGGUGAGUAAUGCAUCGGAACGUGCCCAGUCGUGGGGGAUAACGCAGCGAAAGCUGCGCUAAUAGCGCAUACGAUCUCUGAUGAAAGCGGGGGACCGAAAGGCCGCGCGCGAUUGGAGCGGCCGAUGUCAGAUUAGGUAGUUGUUGGGGUAAAGGCCCACCAAGCCAACUAUCUGUAGCGGGUCUGCGAGGACGACAAGCCACACUGGAACUGAGACACGGCCCAGACUCCUACGGGAGGCAGCAGUGGGGAAUUUUGGACAAUGGGCGCAAGCCUGAUCCAGCAAUGCCGCGUGCAGGAAGAAGGCCUUCGGGUUGUAAACUGCUUUUGUACGGAACGAAACGGUCCGGGUUAAUACCCUGAGCUGAUGACGGUACCGUAAUAAUAAGCACCGGCUAACUACGUGCCAGCCGCCGCGGUAAGAC
rnacentral:rRNA from 1 species